AAGGGAGACACCCCAGCUAUGAAAUAGGCAACAAGGCAAAGAACAGCCUGGCUCCCGUGCUGCGGUGCCCCCUCCAGCACGGGACCCUGCUCCGAGCUCCCUGACUCCCAGAGACACCGGUGCUCUCGGGGCUGACAGGGCUCUUUUCUUUGAGGACUGGAAGGCAGGCAGCGGGAGCACAGUAGGGGAAUAUUGCGACAUGCGAGAACCCAAAAGCAAGCUGGGGAAGCAAGGAUUCUGAGGGGAGAGGAGCAACACGCACGAUGGGGAAUGGCUGCGUGGGAAGUGGACCCACUGUUCUCUGCAGUUCCUCUGUCUGCUCAGCCCCUGCCUGCCCGCCUGCCUGUCCAUCCCGUGCUGCAGGUCCCUGGAACCCGGUGCUGGGCCUGCACUGGAGGCUGGAGUGAGGGCGCCAGUGGUGCAGCUGGAAAGGUGGCCCCGGGCAGGGCGGCUCCUCUCGGCCCCGCCAACGGUGCCAGCUCCUCCAAGCUCCAGGCUCGGCCUGGGGCCCAGGACACUGACCUGAGCAGGAAGGGGCUGCUCUGGGCUUCCAGCAGCCACUGUCUCCGAGUCCUCGGACGUCCUUUCUGCCUCUUUCUCACAGACCCUUGUGCUCCUGGCCUGACUUGGAGGACACUGUCCACCCCUCAGCCUUGGCGCCCAUGGAGGCUUCUGGAAAGACCUGCCCUGCCUCUGAAUCCACCAUCACCCAGCACACUGGCGUUUAGGAAGCAAAGCAUUUUGUGCCAUGGGAAAGCACAGGAGGAAGAACCAAAAAUGCUUGGCUCAGGUCUCAUGGCACUGCGUCAUAGCCGUGGACCUGGGGCAGGUGUCUGUCUUCUCUGAGCUUCCUUCCCUCUCCUGUGAAACAGCAAUGGUGGCAAAAGCGUCACCUGUCCUGCAGAUGCUUUGGAACGUUGUGCUGAUCAAGCAAGAAAAGCAAUGCAAAGGCCCCACAGGAGCCUCGUCCUCUGAAAACAUUGGUGUCAUCAUAACCCUGCCCCAGUGCCACUCCACACUCGUGCUAUUCUGGAAGAGGCCUGGCCACCCUCAGAGCUGCUGGGGAGGGCAGUGCUGGCUCUAAAAGCCCUGCUGGCCCUGGCCCCUCUGCCCCUCAAGGCUGUAGCUUUGGGUCCUCUGUGUUUCUGUGCUGGGGCCUUAGUUUCCGAAACUGUAAAAUGAAAAUCCGAGCGGUGAACCUCAUAUCAAUCCCUGCUCCCACCAUUCUCAGAAGGAAAUGGUAAUCAAGCCUCAAAAGCCCCAUGGUUGGGGCAGCUGGACUAGAACUUCACUCUCUGGCCAUCAGCUCCGAGUCAUCUGCGUUUGGGAAACAGACGUCUCUGAGCCUCCCCCGUGGGAGAGGAGUCCCUCUUGCCAUGAGGAAGAGGAAUUUUUUCCGUGGGUCUCUCGGGACAAGGAACAGAGACCCUGCUUCCCGGAGCUGUGGUCAUGAAGGGUGUGCUCCUGCAUGGAGACGCCAUGGCAACAUGGUACCUGGGGGCGGGCUGCCAUCAAGGUGCCAACCAGAGAGGCCAUGGCACAGCCACCCGGCGGAAAGCACACAACCAUUUUAAGGACUUCCUCGCCAAUCUGACAGCAGCUUUCGCCUCUGACAGGUGCCGUUUGUCCACCUCCGUUGCUUCUCCCUCUUCGGCACACUCACCAGGAUGAGGAAGCUGGAACCCGGCGUCAAAGCUCUUCCUCUUUGAGGUUAAACCCAGAUCAGAAAAAUGCAGCCACUGAAAGGGUUUACUUAAUGGCAGAAGCACAGGCUGCCGAACUUUGAUUUGUUGUAUCCUUCUGUGCCCAGAGCCAGAGCCCCAAUGUGGGUCCCACAAGGUUUCGUGCCAAGAGGUCUCUGAUACCGACCCCUGUAUCACCAGCGGACAGAGGCAAAGGCCCCCAAAGGAGGCCACGGGAGCUUCACUUCCCCAUGAAACAUGGGAGAGAAAACACAACCAGAUAUGCCCCGACCACAUCUACAAAAGCAGUAUCUGAAUCUCUGCAUCCAGCCUCACAGUUUGCUAAGAGGAGAAACGCUGAUCCUUCCUGUCAUGGGGCAAAGCAACAACCUCCCGAGUAGGGCACCAGAAGGGAAACCACACACACAAGCCACGGGCGCCAGCGGCCGCCACCCUGCAGCGCUCUCAUUCCCAGUAUCUGCAAGGAGCUGCAUCCUCUGCAAGGAGCUGAGGUAACAGCCUCAGGUUACCUGAAAUCUGCAUCAGAACGAAAGGCUUGUCUGUGAAUUUUUUCAGACAUAGAGAAAAGCCCGCUAUUCUGGAUGGUGCACAGCUUUCUGUAAAGAAAGUAAAUGCCCGUGACUUUCAUUAACUCGUGCGAGCCGAUGAUUCAGGAAUAAACAUAAUCUUCAACCCGGCAAAGGGCAAAAACACAGGAAAAACUGCAUCUGUCAUUCAGACAGAAAAGAAUUCUCUCCAAACUGCAAAAUCUAAAAUGCCCUGAUCUUGCUUUUAAAAAAAAAUCUAACAUACUCUCCUGAGGCAUGGUAGGAGCUGUUUGACCAGAAAUCGAAUAAUAGCUUCCUUGCGGCGGGGAGUGGGGGGGGACACAUAUAUAUAUAUGUGCUUUUUUUCAGAGGAAGCUAUUAUUUAACUAGUAUUGUAACUAGUAUUUAACUAGUAUUGAAAAGAGAACCACAGUGUUCUGUGAUUUCUCGGAAUUGCCAGAGCAUUAUGAAGUCAGGGGGAUGGAGAGUAAGAAAAGGGGAGACAGCAUGGCCCACCAUUUACAGUCGGAUGUGUCGUCUCAUCUCCAGCCUUGCAGACUUUGACACCCAUGUUCUGUCCAAUAAUACUGAUUUCACUGGUGCCUGUUUUAGCUGCUGGUUCCAGUUUCCAUGGGAAACAGAUACCAUGACCCUAAGCUUCAGAUAGUUUGCAGGGGGUCUGCUGUUUCCCACUCCCACCGGUUUUUAGGUAGAAAAUACGCACGCAUUGAAUAACAGAAGAUCCCUGGAGAGAAAGGAAGAUGCUGCGUAGGUGACUGUCUCCUUUGAGCAUCUUUAAGGAGGAUCAUUUAAUCACUUAAACAAGGUUUCUGGGGAUGUCAAGGAUCUCUGUGAGCCACAAAAGAAGUGUGAUGUAGGGAAAAUGGCAGAAAAGGUGCAUCUAUUUCAUCUAGAACUACAUUUUACGAUUCCUAAUUCAAAAAAUAUACUGAAGAAGCAUAUUAUCACUUUCACAAGAAAAAAAUUAUAUCAAAUAUACCUCUGUUCUUUCUUAUCAUGGCAGCUCAGAAAAACAGUGACACCACUAUCUUCUGUGGUUCUGAACAGGCCACACAGAUUCAUCCCUGAGCUCUCUGUCUCUGAGUUUUUUCAGAUUAACUUCUGAGCUCUCUGGUAUCUGCACUUCCUGAGAGUGCCAGAAGAAUCAAAUAUUACUCUGGGAGGUAAAAAGAGUAAAAAGCAAAUUCAUUCGCCCUUCACUCUCAGGGCCACUGCUGAAACCGUCGAAAUGAACAGCAGAGGUCCCGAAUGCCGCUUUGUGGAUGUGUGCAAAAACCCGCCAUGUGCAACCUGGAAAUUAAAGGAAUAAGGACCAGGAGAUAUGUUGGUUGGUUGGUUUUCAGUCACAUAGACAAAAUAGGACAGUCCAGACGAUGCCAUCUGUCAGUCCUGAGGCAUCACUCUCCACUGAAAGGAGGAACUGAUGGGCCCUUUGUUUUAAUUACAUAGAAAUGCGUCUUUUAAAAUGACAGAGAAAAUUGAAAAAUCUCAUCUCAUUAACUACACUGGCAUUUAUUGUAUCCAUCAGUGUUUACUAGAAAAUUAGUUCCCAAUUAUUUUGGUAAACAGCAGCAAUUGAAGCUUCCCUCAUUCCCUAGACACUAACUGGCAUAUGUCAUUGACUUUGUCUACAGAUACUAGUUUAUUUUUCUCGUCUGUGAGCACACUGUUAGUUCUAGCCAAUAGCUUCAUAACUUACUACAAGGUAAGUCUACAAAUUCUUGUAAUAAAAUACAAUUUAAAAAUC
rnacentral:lncRNA from 1 species